rnacentral:rRNA from 1 species
GACGAACGCUGGCGGCGUGCUUAACACAUGCAAGUCGAACGAUGAAGCCCAGCUUGCUGGGUGGAAGAGUGGCGAACGGGUGAGUAACACGUGAGUAACCUGCCCUGAACUCUGGGAUAAGCACUGGAAACGGUGUCUAAUACUGGAUACGACCUAUCACCGCAUGGUGUGUGGGUGGAAAGAUUUAUCGGUUCUGGAUGGACUCGCGGCCUAUCAGCUAGAUGGUGAGGUAAUGGCUCACCAUGGCGACGACGGGUAGCCGGCCUGAGAGGGUGACCGGCCACACUGGGACUGAGACACGGCCCAGACUCCUACGGGAGGCAGCAGUGGGGAAUAUUGCACAAGGGGCGCAAGCCUGAUGCAGCAACGCCGCGUGAGGGAUGACGGCCUUCGGGUUGUAAACCUCUUUUAGUAGGGAAGAAGCGAAAGUGACGGUACCUGCAGAAAAAGCACCGGCUAACUACG